GCAGAAGCCCCAUCGUUAUACGGUAACUGCCUGUUUUAGUUUUCAUGAACAUGUAUAACAUAUAUACAAUGAAAUAAGAUAACUUUCUAGCUUAGAUACAAGUGAGAUUUGUCUCAUUAUGUUUGUUAGCACAUGUAGGUUGCAUUCAGUUUCACAUUAUCUGUCGUCGGUAUAUUUCUAUGUGUCCCAGGUCGGGUCAGGUCUCUGUAGUCAGUUUUUCCUUAGCAGGCUGAGACUGACCGGUCAUUUCUGUGGCGUACGUCCCCUUUUUUUGGGGGGAGGAGGGACUGGUGCGGGUAUUAUGUGUCAAAUUGCUCCCAUAAUGCCCAGACUUUAUGAUAAGUGGUUGUGGUGUUUUGGACCUGAGCUGUCAAUUUGUCCAUUAGGCAAUUGUCUCUAAUUUUUUCUUGCACCAGUGUGAUGGGUGGGGUGUUGGAUUUUAUCCAGUGUUGCGCUAAAGCUCUUCUUGCUGCAAGAUUUAACAUGUUUAAAAGUCUCUGAUUAUAUUUGUCUAGUCCGUCUGUUGGUCUGGUUCCGCCGUUAGCCUUUUUUAUAAUAUAUAAUAUAUAAUAUGGAGUUCAUGUCUGUCAACUAUGUCCAGUAUGCUUUUUCCUUGGGACAUUGCCACCACAUGUGGAUGUAUGAGCCUUUUUCCCCACAUAGUCGCCAACAAGUAUCUGUGGGGCUUAGUCCCAUGUGGCAUUGUUUGACCGGGGUGGUGUACCAACGGAAUAGGGUCUUAUAAGUUUGUUCCUGUAGUGUAGUGCAGAUAGAUACUUUGGAACAUGCUUCCCAUAUGUCCCGC